GUGAAUCAUCGAAUUUUUGAACGCAUAUUGCACUUUCUGGUAUUCCGGUGAGUAUGCCUGUUUGAGGGUAAUUAAAAAGAAUCUUUAACCAAUUUUUUUUGGUCAAAGGAAAUGAGCUUUACGUGUUUAUAGUGGUAGCUUGAAAUAAAUGGCCAAGUCCCAUUUUAGUCGAGAAGUGUAAUAAUAUUAUUUCGUGAAUUCUUUAUUAUGAGACUAUUCAGGUUUGAUGCAUACAAAUUUGCUUUGAAUGCGAUCAAUACAAAAAUUUUGAACAUUACCUAAAAA
rnacentral:misc_RNA from 1 species